UACGAAGGGUGCAAGCGUUACUCGGAAUUACUGGGCGUAAAGCGUGCGCAGGCGGUUAUGCAAGACAGAUGUGAAAUCCCCGGGCUUAACCUGGGAACUGCAUUUGUGACUGCAUAGCUGGAGUACGGUAGAGGGGGAUGGAAUUCCGCGUGUAGCAGUGAAAUGCGUAGAUAUGCGGAGGAACACCGAUGGCGAAGGCAGUCCCCUGGACCUGUACUGACGCUCAUGCACGAAAGCGUGGGGAGCAAACAGG
rnacentral:rRNA from 1 species